AAUGACUCAUCAUGCUAAGGAUAUACCUAAAAUUGUUGGAGCAUUAUCAACCACUUGUCCUUCUGUUAUCCUUUGAUAUGUAUAUGCUUGACAAUCUCCUUCAAUAACCUAUCAACAAAUAGGCUUCAUCUUUGAAAUCUCAACUUAUUCCUAUCCCUCCAAAUAACAUAAAUCAACAUAAUAAACACACUAGUAACUAUUUGGGCUAGUGUAGUUUUCUUCUGUCAUAGCACCACAUGAUGUCAAAAAUUUAAUGCAGAUGCACUAGAUGGUCCUUAGCAUCCUUCAUCCUGACAAGAAUGUCGUUGAUGUAAACCUCCAUAGUUUUUCCAAUUUGUUUCUUGAAUAUUCGAUUCACCAUCCACCGAUACGUGAUCCCACAUUCCUUCAGCCAAAGAGCAUCACAUUGUAAUAAUAUGUGUCAUAGUUAGUGAUGAAAGAAGUCUUCUUUUGGUCCUCCAGGUCUAUUUGCAUCUAGUUUUACUCAGAGUAUGCUUUGAGAAAACUUAUCAUUUUAUGCCCGACUGUAGCAUAGAUCAUUUGAUCAAUGUUUGGCACGGGAUAAGAAUCUUUGAGACAUGCUUCAUUUAAGUCUUUAAAAUCUAUGAACCUUUGAAAUUUAUGUGGAUUCUUGGGUACCACUA